UAGUCCACGCCGUAAACGAUGGAUACUAGCUGUCCGGCCUUCGGGCUGGGUGGCCAAGCGAAAGUGAUAAGUAUCCCACCUGGGGAGUACGUUCGCAAGAAUGAAACUCAAAGGAAUUGACGGGGGCCCGCACAAGCGGUGGAGCAUGUGGUUUAAUUCGAUGAUACGCGAGGAACCUUACCAGGGCUUAAAUGCAUUCGGACAGGGGUGGAAACACCCUUUUCUUCGGACUGUUUGCAAGGUGCUGCAUGGUUGUCGUCAGCUCGUGCCGUGAGGUGUCAGGUUAAGUCCUAUAACGAGCGCAACCCCUGUCGUUAGUUGCCAGCAUGUAAAGAUGGGAACUCUAACGAGACUGCCGGUGCAAACCGCGAGGAAGGUGGGAUGACGUCAAAUCAUCACGGCCCUUACGUCCUGGGCUACACACGUGCUACAAUGGCCGGUACAGAGGGCAGCCACACCGUAAGGUGGAGCGAAUCCUUAAACGUUAUCUCAGUUCGGAUCGGAUCUGCAACUCGACUCCG
rnacentral:rRNA from 1 species